UUAAAGACCAGAAAAAAGCCCAGUAGCUGAAGUUAUUUGUCCAGUGAGUCGUUAGUAGUGAGAAAACGAUCAACCCUAGCUUCAGUGAAUAACCCUUUUUUAGUCGCUGACCGAACGGUUGCUAGUAGGCUCAGACGUGACCACAACGUUACCCGUGGCUGAGUGUGAUUGCACUUGGAAAUUAAAGAGGUCUAAGCCUUAGGCGCUUAGACAACUUGGGUGGUACCGCGGAAAAAAGCCUUUCGUCCCUUGU
rnacentral:ncRNA from 1 species